rnacentral:rRNA from 1 species
UACGUAGGGUGCGAGCGUUGUCCGGAAUUAUUGGGCGUAAAGAGCUCGUAGGCGGUUUGUUGCGUCGGCCGUGAAAACCUGCAGCUUAACUGUGGGCCUGCGGCCGAUACGGGCAGACUUGAGUUCGGUAGGGGAGACUGGAAUUCCUGGUGUAGCGGUGAAAUGCGCAGAUAUCAGGAGGAACACCGAUGGCGAAGGCAGGUCUCUGGGCAUUAACUGACGCUGAGGAGCGAAAGCAUGGGGAGCGAACAGG